GACGAACGCUGGCGGCGUGCCUAAUACAUGCAAGUAGAACGCUGAAGGAGGAGCUUGCUUCUCUGGAUGAGUUGCGAACGGGUGAGUAACGCGUAGGUAACCUGCCUGGUAGCGGGGGAUAACUAUUGGAAACGAUAGCUAAUACCGCAUAAAGUUGAUUAUUGCAUGAUAGUCAAUUAAAAGGUGCAAUUGCAUCACUACCAGAUGGACCUGCGUUGUAUUAGCUAGUUGGUGAGGUAACGGCUCACCAAGGCAACGAUACAUAGCCGACCUGAGAGGGUGAUCGGCCACACUGGGACUGAGACACGGCCCAGACUCCUACGGGAGGCAGCAGUAGGGAAUCUUCGGCAAUGGACGGAAGUCUGACCGAGCAACGCCGCGUGAGUGAAGCAAGGUUUUCGGAUCGUAAAGCUCUGUUGUAAGAGAAGAACGAGUGUGAGAGUGGAAAGUUCACACUGUGACGGUAUCUACCA
rnacentral:rRNA from 1 species